rnacentral:lncRNA from 1 species
UCUAUUCAAGAUGACAGAUUUUGGAUAGCUUGUUGUGAGAUGAUUUCAUCAGGAGCUAUUACUCUAUGUGAUUUUUGUAAGAAUCUCCUCUGCUAAAUUGAGCAUGUUCAGUAAACGGCAUUACCCCUGAUCAUAUAUUAGGCAAGAGCCUUACUUCAUGGUUGGCCUAGUUCUUCAUUUAGUUUCAUGGCUUAUCCUAGAGUGUAAACCGAUUUUAAUUUGGUAUUGUCAUAGAAUGUGAUUCAACAGACAUCUUUAAAAGACAUCUUCAAAGCGGCGUUAAAUUAUCUCAUUUCUAUAUCAUCUCAUUUCAUAUAUUUUUAUGUCUUGGAGUACUAAGUGCUGGUAAAAAAAGGGAGUCGGUUAAGCUGCGUUUUUUUACUAGAUCUCCGUCAUUUAUUAAACUGCUUUUUUUGACUGAGUUCUCAUGUGGUUAUACACACCAUUGUGAUUUACUUUUGAAUUUUUGUAAAGAGAUGGAGCAAGGCCUGGAGUUUUGUGAAGUAUGCGGAAGUUUUAAGAGUUGUUGAAGGCCUAUACUUGUGCAUCAAACUGGAGAUAAAGCUAAAAUUCAAGAUCAAGAAGUAAGUGGGCAUGCCAGCUAUCUGAGACUUGUGCAUCAAAUUUGAGGUAAGGUUAAAUUUUAUGAUAUACAUUUUCAUAUUUGUUUGUUUGUUAUUAGAUAAAAAAAUGUUUAUUAAAGUUAAAUAAGGACUAAUACAUUUGUUUGGUUUAUUCAAUGACUAUGUUUCAAAUGGUGACUGAUACAAAAUUGUUCAAUAAAGUUAAAUACACAAAAAAAAAUCAGUAUCAAACUACAAAUAAAUAGUUAUUAUAGAAAAUAAAAAAAAAUAGAAAUUUAAAAUUUUUAUGAACAAACACCAUUAAAAAUCACAUCAUUUCAAAAAAUAGUGAUGAAGAAAGAAUUGUUUAUAUCAAUGUUUUAAAAAGUUGGAUCAGAGGUCGAACCGGUGAAAUAUAUUCGGUUUAAAAUUCAAAUUGGUAAAAUCUAUAAUCAAGCCGUUUAUUAAAUAAAUUAAUAAUAUGAAAUCAAAUUUUAUAUAUGUCACAUAAUAUAUUUACAACUUAUUAAAAUAAAUAAUUUAAAAAUUUAUUAUAAAUUUAGUACAAUAAUAUCAAUAAUAAUAUGAAAUCAAAUUUUAUAUAUGUCACAUAAUAUAUUUACAACUUAUUAAAAUAAAUAAUUUAAAAAUUUAUUAUAAAUUUAGUACAAUAAUAUCAAUAAUAUAUAUAAUAAUAUAACAUAACGGUUUACUUAAUUUCAAUCUUUAUUUAAAGAUAAUUUCUCUUUGUGCUUACUUACAAUGCAUCGAGCUUGGUACGAACUUUGCUCUGUAGCUAAAACUGCCUUUGUUAACUCAUGUUAUCAUGCACAUGUUGGUUCACAGUGAUUUCUCUUUGUGCUUACUUACAAUGCUAUUAGCAGUAUAUAUGGUGUUUGGGAGCUUUGGGAUUUAUAUAAGCAUUCUCUAUUCAAGCUGAAAGAUUUUUGAUAGCUCUUUGCGACAUGAUUUCACCAGGAGGAGCUAUUACGGUGUGUGAUGUUUGUAAGAAUCUCCUCUGCUAAAUUGAGCUCUGUUAAGUAAACAGCGUGACGAGCCUUUUGUCAUGGUUGACUUAGUUCUUCAUUUAGUUCCUAGAGUGUUAACAUAUACUUAUUUGGUAAUUUCAUUCAAUGUGAAUCUACAGCAAUCGGCCGUCUUUAAAAUGCCAUUGGUAAGGGAAAAGGUCAAAAUUAUCUCAUUUCAUAUAUUUUUAUAUCUUAGUGGAGUAUUAAGUGCUGGUAAAAAAUGAGAGUUGAUUAAGCUGCCUUUUUUUACUAGAUAUCUGUCCGUCUAUUAAACUGCUUUUUUUCCUAGUUCUCGUCUUCUAUUAUGUGGUUAUACAUACCAUUGUGAUUUGUUUUUGAUUUUUUUUAAAGAGAUGGAACCUUUGAAGUUGAAGCAAGGCGUCUAGAGUUUUUUGAAGUAUGCUGCAAAGUAUUAAGGCUAAUAUUCAAGAUGAAGAAGUAGGCAUCCCAACUAUCAGAGACUUUCUUGCACACGUGAACAAGAUGUUCGUUGACGAUGACGAAGACAAAUGUACUGAAAGAGAAGAGCAUUAGCUAUAAGAAAUCCUUAAGAAAAGAGAAGAUGUACAUUUAUAUUCCUCGGAGCUUUGGCAACCACUCUGGUGGUAACAUUGAGAUGUUAUCCAUUCUUCCAUCUUUAUAUGACAUUAAUUUCAGCGUUCAGUUUUUGUAAUGAUAACAAAACAUUCAUAGAUGAAUCAUAGAUAUUACUUUCUUACUUCCUUCCAUCUUUGUGGAUUAUGGACACAAACUAAGAACAACUCCAGGAUAGAUAAAUCAAACGUCUUUAUUUUUUAGUAUUUAUCACAGUAAAAUUUAUAUCUACAUGUAUCAUUUGGGGUUGAUUAAUGAAUUUGUUUGUAUUGCAGUCUGAAUUUGGAUAUAGUGGAGAUGACGGAGGUGCCAAGGAGACGUGAAUCAUCAUGUUUGGCCGGCUGAGCUGUAAUUUGAACAACUUUGUAUCAUUCCUUCUAAUUCUUCUAUGAAAGUUUGUCCUUAGAUUUUCAGACUUUCUCAUUCAUCCUGUGGAUAACGUUUCUUGGUAGAAUUAACCCACGAUCCGGGGAGUACCAUUUUGCUGCAAAGCUCCCCUUAAAGAGAUUUAACACUGCUGCAUGCUUAUGGCCGGGUUCAAACGAGGACUUCUGGUUAAGCUGGAAGAGUCCCUUACCAUAUCAACUAUGGAUAAUUUUUUUUACAUACAUGUAUCUGAGGAACUUGAGGAACCUAAGUUAUAGUCUGACUUAGCAUACAAGAUUAUUUGUAUCACUUUUUUUUGGAUAUGUUUCAUGAUUUUGAUAAUUGAGAGAGACACAUUUAAUUUGUUUUGCAGCAUGUUUCAUAUUGAGUACAAGAUCUUGUAGACGGAAUGGAAGUUUUGCAGACUGUGUUCUUAUGCUUUAAUUUGGUCAGCUGUCUACUAAUGACUUCAUAUUUCAUUCUUUUUUGUUGAUACUCAGCAAAAAAUUGUGAUGUUAAAACUUAUCUAUAUUAGGUUGAAGCUUAAAUUGUGAUGUUUCAUAUUGAGUACAGGAUCUUAUAGACUCGAUGGUAGUUUUGCAGGCUGUGUUCUUAUGCUUUAAUUUGGUCAGCUCUCUACUUAAAAUGACUUCAUAUUUCAGUAUUUUUUGUUGAUACUCAGCAAAUUUGAACAAUUAUGUAUCAUUCCUUCUAAUUCUUCUAUGAAAGUUUGUCCUUAGAUUUUCAGACUUUCUCACUCAUCCCGGGGAUAACUUUUUUAUGUAAAACUAACCCACGAGUCAAGGAGGACCAUUAUGCUGCAAAACUCUCCUUCAAGAGAUUAAACACUGCUGCAUGUCUAGGGCUAGGAGAUUUAAUGCUGCUGCAUGCUUAGGUCCGGGUUUAAACGAGGACUUCUGGUUAUGCUGGUAGAGUCCCUUACCAUAUCAACCAGAGAUAAUCUUUUUUACACACAUGUAUCUGAGGAACUUGAGGAACCUUAGCAUACAAGAUUAUUUAUGAAACUAAAAAUCAAUUCAACCAUAUGGGUAUCCCUCAAAGAGUCUGCAACUGGAGCAAGAACUUGACUUAAAGUGGAGCCUAGUUGAGCAGAAGACGUUGCAAUUGGUUUUUGUCGUUGUGAUUGUACUUUCAUCCGGUGAUCUCUAGAGCCUAGUUGAGCAGAAGACGUUGCAAUUGGUUUUUGUCGUUGUGAUUGUACUUUCAUCCGGUGAUCUCUAAUACGACUAUUGAUUCUUCAUGUUUACUUGUAUAUAUUAAGAUCUUGCUUUCUCGUUUUCUUGGUUUGUUGAUAGGGGUCACAUGGAAUAUGUACAUUGAGAACUGAUUAGGUGAUUGUCAUAGACAUUUUGCUUGAUUCAUUGGAGAAAGGCUCUGUAUUUCGUGGAAUUUUAAUAUUUGCGUUUAACAGGUCAUUUUUUCGUUAAAGGUACACUUGAUUUGAAAUAUAGUUGUCCUAUGCGAGUGUAAUGAUUGAAUGUUGAUUUUUGUGUAUUGCAGAAGCAAUGCCAAUAUUAGGGGUGCUUUAGUAUUUGUUAUGUAGUACAUGUUCAACUCUUUCUUGACUAAGGUGUGUCUGUUUUGCUAUAUUCUUUUUUUGUUGUGUUUUUGUUGUUAUAUUUAUGAUUAUGAUACUCCUAAGAAGAUAGCCUCUUUGUUACAGUUGGCUCCCGAAGGACUUCUUUAUUUUUAGAGGCGGCCAAAUUUGUGUCAUUUCAUAUGAGUACAUGCCAUUACAAAAUGGUUGGGAAAUUUGUUCCAAUGAAUCAUCAUCCGAAGACUCUUUACAUUUCAGUCUUUGUUUGAUUUGAUAGUUAGCCUCUACUUUUGUCAGAUCCUUUGAGUUUUCAUCUGUGGAUGUUACAGUGGAGAUGGCCUAUAAAUGUAGGUUAGCUUUGGAACAUGUGUUAGGCAUACUAGGUUCACAUACUUUGCAUUCUGUUUAGUGAUAAAACAUGUAAUUUCUUUCCUGCGUAUAACACAUAAUCUCCAAAUGGCUACUGUUGUAUUUCAUCUGGUGAUCUCUACUUUGGCCAUAAAGUCUUUACGUUUCUCCAUGAUUUCUUUAUUCAAAAUCUAGUUUUCUUGAUUUCUUCAUGACUUCCUUUUUCGUGUUACAGGGCGAUAUAUAUUGUGGAAGCUGUGGCCAGAUUUAUCAAGGACAUUUUGCUUUUUGUUUUACAGGUGAGAGAUGCUAUGAAUGUACCGUGGUAUUUGAAAGUUAUGGUUAACAUUAUGAAGGAGAUGCUUUAGUUUAAAACAUUGGAUUAAUUAGUCACGUUUGCUCUCUCGUGGAUGUACUUGUUUUGGGGUGUCCUAAGAUGUGAAAAGUAGCAUUUAUGAUUUUUGUGUUUAGAAUUACGUGUUUAUGUGUGUUCAGUAUUUAUGGUUCUAUAUUACAUGUCCACCUCUUGGAUAAUUGAGACGUGCGUUUGUUUUGUAGAGUGAAGUAUGAUAUGUGUGUUCAGUAUUUAUGGUUCUAUAUUACAUGUCCACCUCUUGGAUAAUUGAGACGUGCGUUUGUUUUGUAGAGUGAAGUAUGAAUGUCUAGAAUGUUUAGAGUUUUGCACAAUGAAGUUUGAAUAUCAAUGUUUGGAGAUAUUUGAUGCAAUGGAGAAGAAAGUAGAGUUCGUUUUAAUCAAAUAUCUUCAAUGAUUCAGCCUUCACUAUUUUUAUUUUUGUGCUCUGUUUGGUUUAAUGCAAUGGUGAAGAAAGCAUAGUUCCGAUAAAAAUGGAGAACUUGGUUAGGAGUUGUUUGUUUUGAUGAUUGGGACAAGUUGGUUAGGUAAAAUGAUAUUCUUUUGCAUUUAUACUCUUUAAAUGACAUACUCUUCGUUACACUAGCCUAACGGCUCUUCUAAAUUAGGUUGCAUAUUGAAUACAAGAUCUUGUAGACGGGAUGGAAGUUUUGCAGAUUGUGUUCUUAUGCUUUUAUUUGGUCAGCUCUCAAUAAGAAUGACUUCAUAUUUCAGUCUUUUUUGUUGAUACUUGUUGUAAAUAUUAGAUUGUAAAUAGUAAUUAUUUCUAUUAGUAAUGAGGCCCAUUAGAUUUUCUAUUCUCUCUUAUUUAAAGCAUGUAGAUGUAACAUGUAAGAAUCACUUUUUAAUAUAUCAGUAAAAUAUUUUACAACAUGGUAUCAAGAGCUCCCGAUUUUGGGGGAUUCGCUUCCACCUAAACCCUAGCCGCCUUGUAGCGGAGUUUUUUUUACUGCAGUUUGCAGUUUGUUGUUGUUUUUGGGUGUUUGGGUCAUUGUUGUUUUGUGUUGUAGCACAUCGUGCUUCUUGUUUUUGUUCACUCAUCUUUGAAACCCUAACCCAUCCUGUUUCUUGGUUUGUUUUCUCUCGAUUGUCCUUUCAAUGGCUGAGAUUAUUAACGAUCAACCACCUCCACCUCCACCUCCACCUCCCACAAAUCCACCAGUUACUGGGUCUCUAGCAGUUACUGGUAAGAGUUUGUGUUCCCGAUCUCUUACUGUUUGUGGUAAUAUUCCUAAGAAUGCGUGGAUUCUUGACUCUGGUGCUACUAAUCAUAUGACAUUUGAUUUCACAUUAAUAUGCUCUUAUACCACACCUUCGAGUAUUCCUUAUAUCACUGUUGCUGAUGGCUCUCAUGCUUGUGUUGUUGGCACUGGAAAUAUUGACUUGCAACCUCCAUUCCAGUUGCAAUCUGUGCUUCAUGUUCCCAUACUUUCCCACAAUUUAAUUUCCAUCCAUAAGCUUACCCGUGAUCUGAAUUGUAAAGUAAUUUUUUCUAUGUCCCAUUGUGUUUUUCAGGACCUUACCACGGGGCAGACGAUUGGAAUUGCUAAGGAAAAGGAAGGGUUAUACUACUUCUCUGAUGACCAUCCAAAGGUAUUGUCCUCCUGUUUCCAGUCUCAGUCUUCCUCUUCAGCCUCACAAAUUUGGCUUCAGCACAAGCGUCUCGGUCAUCCUCCAUUUUAUAUAAUUAAGUCUAUGUUUCUGUCGUUGUUCUUACACCAUUCUGUUGAGUCUUUUAAGUGUGAUGUUUGUCAGUUGGCAAAACACAAUCGUGUAUCUUUUCCUUCCAGUUUUAAUAAAAGUGAUGAACCUUUUGAUUUGAUUCAUUCUGAUGUUGGGGGACCUGCCCCUACCUCUAAUAUUUUUGGUGCAAAAUGGUUUGUCUCAUUUAUUGAUGAUUGUACUCAGGUAACUUGGAUUUUCUUGAUGAAUACUAAAUCCGAAGUACCACAAAUAUUUAUCUAAUUUUAUAAUAUGGUACAAACGCAAUUUGGGAAAGGCAUAAAAAGAAUUCGUUCUGACAAUGGUAAAGAAUAUGUCAAUCAUACCUUUUCUAACUUCACUAGUAAACAUGGCAUUCUCCAUGAAUUCACAUGUGUUGACACCCCACAACAAAACGGUGUCGCAGAAAGAAAAAAUCGUCAUUUACUUGAAGUUGCUAGAUCUCUCCUUUUUCAAAUGUUUGUUCCUACCUCUUAUUGGGGUGAGGCAAUUCUUACUGCUGCCUAUCUGAUUAACCGGGUCCCAUCUCGAGUGUUAGGUAAUAAAAGUCCUGCCCAAUUUAUGCUUUCACGUUUUCCAUCUGUUCCUAUCUUACACACUCUUGAGUCUCGCAUUUUUGGUUGUGUUGCUUUUGUUCAUGUUCACAAACAAUAUCGCAACAAAUUGGAUCCCCGUGCUGUCAGAUGUAUCUUUCUGGGUUAUGCACCCAACAAAAGAGGGUACAAAUGUUAUCAUCCUCCGAGUCGAAAAUUCUUUGUCUCCAAAGAUGUCACCUUUCAUGAAAAUGUGUCAUAUUUCACUCGUUCUCAGUCUCAGGGGGAGAACAUAAGUGACUUAGAGUCAGAGUCAGAGUCUGAGUCCGAGUUUCUGAUCCUUGGUCCUAGCCUCCCUAGAACACCUAUCAGUGUUCCCUCUCUUGAACCCGAGUUGUCACCUAGUUUGAGUUUGAGUCCUAGUUCAACACCUGAAUCUGAGCCAGUAAGUGUUCCUGGUCCUUCAAGGCCUUCUGUUUUACAGGAAUCAGCACCUCCAGCACCAACUCUAGUGUAUCAGAGAAGAAGUAAACCUGACCUUCUCCAGAAACAAAUUCAAUCGCCUGAACCGGAGGUAAGUACUGAAAAUGAUUCCUCUAGUGAUGAUUGUGCCAUUUCUGAUACUUGUGACACUAAUCCAGUUGAUUUACCCAUUGCUUUGAGGAAGGAUAAAAGAUCUUGUCCCUCCCUAUAUCGACACCCUAUCUCUCAAUAUGUCUCCACUAAACAUCUUUCCACACAAUAUCAAAGUUUUAUUGCAGCUGUUGAUUCUGUGAAAAUCCCAUCAUCUGUUGAAGAAGCAUUGCAAAAUAGAAAUUGGGUCCAAGCUAUGGAUGAGGAAAUGAGAGCACUUGAAAAAAAUGGUACUUGGGAGAUUAUUGAAAGGAAAAGAGACAAAAGUCCAGUUGGAUGCAGAUGGAUCUAUACUGUAAAGUACAAAUCUGAUGGUACACUUGAUCGGUACAAAGCAAGACUAGUGGCAAAAGGUUAUACUCAGACGUAUGGUAUUGAUUAUGAGGAGACAUUUGCCCCAGUGGCAAAGAUGAAUACUGUUCGAAUUUUACUAUCUCUUGCUGCUUCAUGUGGAUGGGAAUUGCAACAGUUUGAUGUUAAAAAUGCGUUCUUGCAUGGAGACUUAGAGGAAGAAGUGUAUAUGGAGAUUCCACCAGGUGUUGGCAUAACAAAUGGAGCUAACAAGGUGUGUAAAUUGAAGAAAGCCUUAUAUGGACUAAAGCAGUCCCCUCGGGCAUGGUUUGGAAGAUUCACAAAGGCAAUGAUGUGUUUGGGCUAUAAGCAAAGUCAAGGAGACCACACUUUAUUUUUUAAACAUUCACAAGGAGGAAAACUGACUGUACUUCUUGUUUAUGUUGAUGAUAUUAUUGUUACAGGAGAUGAUUUGAUUGAGAGACAUUUCCUCAAAGAGAAAUUAUCAGCAGAGUUUGAGAUGAAAGACCUUGGGCAACUCAAGUAUUUCUUGGGAAUUGAGGUAGCCUACUCAAAGCAAGGCAUCUUUAUUUCUCAAAGGAAGUAUGUGCUUGAUCUUUUGCAGGAAACUGGCAAACUUGGAUGCAAACCUGCAAGUGUUCCCAUUGAACAAAAUCACAGGAUAAGCUUUGAGGAGGAAAGUGACAAAGUUGACAAGGGUCAAUAUCAGAGAUUAGUGGGAAAAUUGAUUUACUUGGCACACACUAGACCAGAUUUGGCAUAUGCAGUCAGUGUGGUGAGCCAAUUCAUGCAUGAUCCGAGGGUGAGACAUUUGCAGGCUGUAGACCGCGUUCUACAAUAUCUUAAAGCAACUCCAGGGAGAGGACUUUUGUUUAAAAGAGGUGGAAAUCUAACUAUGGAGACUUACACUGAUGCGGAUUAUGCCGGAUCAGUGAGUGACAGAAGAUCUACGUCAGGCUAUUGUACUUUUCUGUGUGGUAACCUUGUAGCUUGGAAGAGUAAGAAGCAAAGUGUAGUUGCUCGAUCAAGCGCCGAGGCAGAAUUUAGAGCUAUGGCACUAGGAAUUUGUGAGCUAUUGUGGAUGAAACAAAUUCUAGAAGACUUAAAGAUACAAUGUGAAGGUCCUAUGACAUUGUUUUGUGACAAUAAAUCGGCUAUUAGUAUUGCUCAUAAUCCUGUUCAGCAUGACAGGACUAAACACAUUGAGAUUGACCGACAUUUUAUCAAAGAGAAGUUGGAUAGUGGACUGAUAACUAUAUCUUACGUUCCUUCCGGGCAUCAGCUGGCAGAUGUGUUAACAAAAGGCUUACCAACAGAAAGAUUCAGGCAACUUACUUGCAAGCAGGGAAUGAUAGAUAUCCAUUCACCAGCUUGAGUGGGAGUGUUGUAAAUAUUAGAUUGUAAAUAGUAAUUAUUUCUAUUAGUAAUGAGGCCCAUUAGUCAAAACCCAUUAGGUUUUCUAUUCUCUCUUAUUUAAAGCAUGUAGAUGUAACAUGUAAGAAUCACUUUUUAAUAUAUCAGUAAAAUAUUUUACAACAAUACUUAGCAAAUAAUUGUGAUGUUAAAGGUCUUCUAUAUUAGCUUGAACUUUAUUUGUGAUGUUUCAUAUUGAGUACAAGAUCUUGUAGGCUGGAUGGAAGGUUUGCAGACUAUGUUUUUAUGCUUUAAUUUGGCCACUAAAAAACAAUAUUAAAGUUUUUUUCUUAUUCAUUUUUAGUUUUGUCAUAUCUGAUAUAAAUGGCUCAAACUGAACUUUUCUUCCAUAUGGGUGUCCCUCACAGAAUCUGCAAUUGGUGUAAGAACUUCGCAUAAGUGGAGCUUAAUUGAGCACAAGAGGUUGCAAUUGGUUGUUGUUGUUGUACUUUCAUUUAGUGAUCUCUACUAUGACUAUUAAUUCUUCAUGUUUCUUUGUAUAUAUUAAGGUCUUGUUUUCUCGCUAUCGUCGUUGUAGAUGAUUGUCGUGGACAUUCUACUGGAUGUUUCAUGGGAGAUAAGCUAUGAAACUAAAAAUCAUCUCUCCCAUAUGGGUAUCCCUUAAAGAGUCUGCAACUGGAACAAGAACAUGACUUAAAAGGGAGCCUAGUUGAGUUGCGAUUGGUUAUUGUCGUUGUUAUUGUACUUUCAUCUGGUGAUCUCUACUAUGACUAUCGCUUCAUGUUUACUUAUAUAUAUAUAUUAAGAUCUUGUUUUAUCUAUUUCUUGAUGAGUUUCUGGUAGGUGUGACUUGGAAUAUGUACUGUGGGAACUAGAUGAAUGUCUUGAACAUUUUGCUUGAUUCAUUGGAGAAAGGCUAUGAAUUUCGUGGAAUUUGAACCUUUGCAAGAUAACAGGUCAUUUUUUUUUGUUAAAUAUACACUUGAUUUGGAACAUAGGUAUCCUAUGCAAGUGUUUUGAAGAAAUGUCCAUCUCUUUCUUGACUAAGAUAUGUCUGUUUCGCUAUAUUCUUCUUUUUGUGUUUAUUUAUUUAUUUAUUUAUUUAUUUAUGAUUAUGAUACUCCUCCUAAGAAGUUAUCCUCUUCGUUACAGUUGGCCGGCCGAAGGACUCCUUUAUAUUUAGAGGAGGCCGAAAUUGUGUCAUUUCAUAUGAGUACAUGUCAUUGCAAAUUGGAUGGGAAAUUUGUUCCAAUGAAUCAUCAUCUUUUUGUAGGUUGUGGUGCAUACUCCCUGCUGUUGCUAUGCAUUCAUUUUGUCAUAUCUACGAAGACUCUUUACAUUUCAGUCUUUGUUUGAUUUGAUACUUAGCCUCUACUUUUGUUAGAUCCUUUGAGUUUUCAUCUGUGGGUGUUACAGCGGCGAUAACCUAGAAAUGUAGGUUAGCUUUGAACCCGUGGUAGGCAUAAUAGGUUCACAUACUUUGCAGUCUGCUUUGUGAUAAAACAUGGGAUUUUUUUCUUGCAUAUAACACAUAAUAUCUGCAAACGGCCACUGUUGUAUUUCAUAAUGAUGCAAAUGGCUACUGUUCUAUUUUCUCAGCAUUAUGGGCAUGAUUGUCUGUAGAUGGAGUAAUUUGGAAUAGCUUGGUGAAAUCACUUUAUUCCUGCGACCUGUCAUUUGGUUUGGAGAAUUACACUUGUAGCUUCAUGUAAGAAACAGACGACCUUCUCUUGAGCUAAUAGUUGUGAACUGGCUUUGUUAACUAACGUUAUUAGCAGAAUAUAUGGUCUUCGGAAGCUUUGGGAUUUAUGUCUAUUCAAGAUGAAAGAUAUUGGAUAGCUUGUUGUGACAUAUGAUUUCAUCAGGAGCUAUUACUGUAUGUGAUUUUUGUAAGAAUCUCCUCUGCUAAAUUGAGCUCUGUUCAGUAAACGGCAUUACCCCUGAUCAUAUAUUAGGCAAGAGCCUUACUUCAUGGUUGGCCUAGUUCUUCAUUUAGUUUCAUGGCUUAUCCUAGAGUGUUAACUGAUGUUUAUUUGGUAUUGUCAUAGAAUGUGAUUCAACAGACAUCUUUAAAAUGCCACUGGUAAGGGAAGGCCAAAGCAGCGUUAAAUUAUCUCAUUUCAUAUAUUUUUAUGUCUUGGAGUACUAAGUGCUGGUAAAAAAAGGGAGUCGGUUAAGCUGUGUUUUUUUGACUGAGUUCUCAUGUGGUUAUACACACCAUUGUGAUUUGUUUUUGAAUUUUUUUAAAAUGAUGAAGCAAGGCCUGGAGUUUUGUGAAGUAUGCGGAAGUUUUAAAAGUUGUCGAAGGCCUAUACUUGUGCAUCAAAUUGGAGAUAAGGCUAAAAUUCAAGAUCAAGAAGUAAGUAGGCAUCCCAGCUAUCUGAGACUUGUGCAUCAAAUUUGAGGUAAGGUUAAAUUUUAUGAUAUACAUUUUCAUAUUUGUUUGUUUGUUAUUAGAUAAAAAAAUGUUUAUAAAAGUUAAAUAAGGACUAAUACAUUUGUUUGGUUUAUUCAAUGACU